rnacentral:rRNA from 1 species
UACGGAGGGGGCUAGCGUUGUUCGGAAUUACUGGGCGUAAAGCGCGCGUAGGCGGACCUGCAAGUCGGGGGUGAAAGCCCGAGGCUCAACCUCGGAACUGCCUUCGAUACUGCGGGUCUCGAGUCCGGGAGAGGUGAGUGGAAUUCCUAGUGUAGAGGUGAAAUUCGUAGAUAUCCGGAGGAACACCGGUGGCGAAGGCGGCUUCCUGGACCGACACUGACGCUGAGGCGCGAAAGCUAGGGGAGCAAACGGG